AUAAUAUAUUGGAGGGGUUGUUGUUGUUUCUUUUCUUCUUUUCUUUUCUUUUAUGGUACUGAAAAUUGAACCCAGGGCCUUUGCACUCAACUAUAUUCUCAACCCUUUUACUUUUUUAUCUUGAGACAAAGUCUUGCUAAAUUGCCCAGGCUGGGCUUGAACUUGUUGUCCUCCUGACUCAUCACGGGUAUGUACUACACUUGGCUAAUUAGAGUAAUGGAACUUUUUUUUAGUGCUGGGGAUUGAACCUAGGGACUUGUGCAUACAACAUGCACCCUCUACCACUGAGCUGCCCAACUCCAGCCUGCAGGUCUUUUGUUUUUUGGUACCAGGAAUCGAACUCAGGACCUCAUGCUUGCCACUCAGGCACUUGUGCCGCUGAGCUAUAUCCCUGGCCCUAGCCUCCAGCUCUUUUGACUAGCCCUUCUAGCUGCUGCUUCCCUGAUGAUCACUUAUCGUUUCUUGUGUACUGCUGUAAUGACCUCCUAAUUAGUCUUGCUGCCAAUAAAUUCUGCCUCCACCAAUUCAUCCUGUACCCUUUACUAGCUCAAACACUAUUCUCCAGCUUUAAAGCCUGUUUCUCAUUUCAGGAACAAGUAUACACGUCUCCAAGCCUCCCUGCAGAGCCUGUUUCAAAAAUAACCUCCUGCUCCAGUUUCAAUGUGUCUCCAUAUACUGGAAACUUAAUCCCCAGUGCAACAGUACUGAGAAGUAAGACCUGCCAAGACAGCAUUGAAGGAAAGAGAUUUGAAUUCAAAUCCUGGCUCAACUCUCCCAAGCUGCUGGCCCCAGGUCCCGAGACUGUGGAGGAGUGACAGUAGGAUACAGGACAAUCGAGGGGAUGCUGGAAGCCCUCUGGGACCCGUGCCUUCCUGUGAGGUGCUGAAGUCAUUGCUGUAGCUGGAAGUGUCCUUAGUUAUAAACUGUUCUUGAAAUUUUGUAUUCCCUGAAUCAUACAAUAUUAUCUCUUAAAAAAGGAUCUUAUGAGCCUGGCAUUAUCGAGAGCCAUUCUACAUAACUUUGGGGGGGAAAUCAUUUCAUAAUUAAAUUGUGGUGAAGGUUUGUCUGGGGCCUAGUAUCUCGCUGUGUGAGCCGCUGCGGUAUGAGGAAACAUAACUCCCUGUGAGUCCACUCACAGUUGAGGGUUCAGCAGUCGCAUGAUGCUGUGACCUCUGGGGCAAGAUUACAUCAGCUGAAAACAUCCUGGUUCCUUCAAAACCGAGUAGAAAUUUUUUUAAAAAAAGUUUUGCCUGGGGGGAGGGGCAAACUCCUUAUUAAUCUGCUAGCUCUUCCCACCUGCUAUUGUAGAAACACUUUGCACAUCCCACUGUCUUCACCAACAUAAGCCCCUCAUCACUAUUAGAUCCCCACUACCCUCCACGUCACCUGAAAUGAUCCUCAUCGCACAAGACCUUCAUCAGUGCAAGAUCACUGCCACCUCUGCAUCAUCCGAUACUCCAUUACUGUGUGCACCCAAUAAAAUAGCGUCAUUGGCUCAGAGUGGCUUUGUCUCUGCGCAUCCUGAGGCACUGAC
rnacentral:lncRNA from 1 species